GACGAACGCUGGCGGCGUGCUUAACACAUGCAAGUCGAACGGAAAGGCCCUGCUUUUGUGGGGUGCUCGAGUGGCGAACGGGUGAGUAACACGUGAGUAACCUGCCCUUGACUUUGGGAUAACUUCAGGAAACUGGGGCUAAUACCGGAUAGGAGCUCCUGCUGCAUGGUGGGGGUUGGAAAGUUUCGGCGGUUGGGGAUGGACUCGCGGCUUAUCAGCUUGUUGGUGGGGUAGUGGCUUACCAAGGCUUUGACGGGUAGCCGGCAUGAGAGGGUGAACGGCCACCAUGGGCCUGAGAUACGGCCCAGUCUGCUACGGGAGGCAGUGGUGGGGAAUAUGGCAGAAUGGGGGGAAGCGUGAGGCGGCAGCGCCGCGUGCGGGAUGCCGGCUUACGGGGGGAAAACCGCUUUGGCCGGUGACGAAGAGUGAGUGACGGUAAUGGGUAAAGAAGCACCGGCUAACUACGUG
rnacentral:rRNA from 1 species